GAAAGAUAAUCGCGGAUACCGUUUGCGUAUCUGAGGAAAGUCCGGGCUCCACAGGGCAAUGUGCUGGAUAACGUCCAGCGAGGGUGACCUCAGGGAAAGUGCUAUAGAAACUUAAACCGCCUGCUUCGGCAGGUAAGGGUGGAAAGGUGCGGUAAGAGCGCACCAGCAGGCAGGUGACUGUCUGGCUAGGUAAACCCCACAUGGAGCAAGACCGAAUAGGGAAGGGAUGAAGCGGCCCGCAGAGCCUUCCGGGUUGUGUCGCUAGAGCUUAUAGGUAACUAUAAUGCCAAGAUAAAUGAUUAUCGCCACGCAAGUGGAACAAAACUCGGCUUAUUGAUU
rnacentral:RNase_P_RNA from 1 species